GAAAAAAUAGUCUAUAUAAGACGCAGCACUGAAAAUGCUGAAAAGGCCUCAGCCUAUUUCCA
rnacentral:tRNA from 1 species